rnacentral:rRNA from 1 species
UCCUACGGGAGGCAGCAGUGAGGAAUAUUGGUCAAUGGGAGAGAUCCUGAACCAGCCAAGCCGCGUGAGGGAAGACGGCCCUAUGGGUUGUAAACCUCUUUUGUCGGAGAACAAAACCCGGGACGUGUCCCGGACUGCGUGUAUCCGAAGAAAAAGCAUCGGCUAACUCCGUGCCAGCAGCCGCGGUAAUACGGAGGAUGCGAGCGUUAUCCGGAUUUAUUGGGUUUAAAGGGUGCGUAGGCGGAUUUUUAAGUCAGCGGUAAAAUGUCCGGGCUCAACCCGGGCCGGCCGUUGAAACUGGGGAU